GGCGGACGGGUGAGUAACACGUGGGCAACCUGCCUGUAAGACUGGGAUAACUUCGGGAAACCGGAGCUAAUACCGGAUAAUCCUUUUCCUCUCAUGAGGAAAAGCUGAAAGACGGUUUACGCUGUCACUUACAGAUGGGCCCGCGGCGCAUUAGCUAGUUGGUGAGGUAACGGCUCACCAAGGCGACGAUGCGUAGCCGACCUGAGAGGGUGAUCGGCCACACUGGGACUGAGACACGGCCCAGACUCCUACGGGAGGCAGCAGUAGGGAAUCUUCCGCAAUGGACGAAAGUCUGACGGAGCAACGCCGCGUGAGUGAUGAAGGUUUUCGGAUCGUAAAACUCUGUUGUUAGGGAAGAACAAGUACAAGAGUAACUGCUUGUACCUUGACGGUACCUAACCAGAAAGCCACGGCUAACUACGUGCCAGCAGCCGCGGUAAUACGUAGGUGGCAAGCGUUGUCCGGAAUUAUUGGGCGUAAAGCGCGCGCAGGCGGGUCCUUUAAGUCUGAUGUGAAAGCCCACGGCUCAACCGUGGAGGGUCAUUGGAAACUGGGGGGACUUUGAGUGC
rnacentral:rRNA from 1 species